rnacentral:rRNA from 1 species
GACGUAGGGGGCCAGCGUUGUUCGGAAUUACUGGGUGUAAAGGGUUCGUAGGCGGUGUGGCAAGUCGGGAGUGAAAUCUCUGGGCUCAACUCAGAGACUGCUUCCGAAACUGCUGUGCUGGAGUGUGGGAGAGGCGCGUGGAAUUGCAGGUGUAGCGGUGAAAUGCGUAGAUAUCUGGAGGAACACCGGUGGCGAAGGCGGCGCUCUGGACCGAGACUGACGCUGAGGCGCGAAAGCGUGGGGAGCAAACAGG